UCCUACGGGGGGCAGCAGUAAGGAAUAUUGGGCAAUGGACGCAAGUCUGACCCAGCCAUGCCGCGUGAAGGAUGACGGCCCUAUGGGUUGUAAACUUCUUUUGUACGGGAAUAAACCCAGAUACGUGUAUCUGGCUGAAUGUACCGUAAGAAUAAGGAUCGGCUAACUCCGUGCCAGCAGCCGCGGUAAUACGGAGGAUCCAAGCGUUAUCCGGAUUCAUUGGGUUUAAAGGGUGCGUAGGCGGAUUUGUAAGUCAGUGGUGAAAUCCUGCAGCUUAACUGUAGAACUGCCAUUGAUACUGCAAGUCUUGAGUACAUUUGAUGUGGGCGGAAUGUGUCAUGUAGCGGUGAAAUGCUUAGAUAUGACACAGAACACCGAUUGCGAAGGCAGCUCACAAAACUGUAACUGACGCUGAGGCACGACAGCGUGGGGAUCAAACAGGAUUAGAUACCCCAGUAGUC
rnacentral:rRNA from 1 species